rnacentral:rRNA from 1 species
GACGAACGCUGGCGGCGCGCCUAACACAUGCAAGUCGAGCGAAGCGGCGAACGGGUGAGUAACGCGUGAGGAACCUGCCUCUCACAACGGGAUAGCCUCGGGAAACCGGGAUUAAUACCGUAUGGUGAGAGAUGGGCUCGCGUCUGAUUAGCUAGUUGGUGAGAUAACAGCUCACCAAGGCGACGAUCAGUAGCCGGUCUGGGAGGAUGAACGGUCACAUUGGAACUGAGACACGGUCCAAACUCCUACGGGAGGCAGCAGUGGGGAAUAUUGCACAAUGGGGGAAACCCUGAUGCAGCGACGCCGCGUGAACGAAGAAGGUAUUCGUAUCGUAAAGUUCUGUCCUAUGGGAAGCAGUACCAUAGAAGAAAGCUCCGGCUAAUUACGUGCCAGCAGCCGCGGUAAUAC